AUGCUGGAGGUAUCAGAAGUGCGAAUGCUGACAUAAGUAACGAUAAAGCGGGUGAAAAGCCCGCUCGCCGGAAGACCAAGGGUUCCUGUCCAACGUUAAUCGGGGCAGGGUGAGUCGACCCCUAAGGCGAGGCCGAAAGGCGUAGUCGAUGGGAAACAGGUUAAUAUUCCUGUACUUGGUGUUACUGCGAAGGGGGGACGGAGAAGGCUAUGUUGGCCGGGCGACGGUUGUCCCGGUUUAAGCGUGUAGGCUGGUUUUCCAGGCAAAUCCGGAAAAUCAAGGCUGAGGCGUGAUGACGAGGCACUACGGUGCUGAAGCAACAAAUGCCCUGCUUCCAGGAAAAGCCUCUAAGCAUCAGGUAACAUCAAAUCGUACCCCAAACCGACACAGGUGGUCAGGUAGAGAAUACCAAGGCGCUUGAGAGAACUCGGGUGAAGGAACUAGGCAAAAUGGUGCCGUAACUUCGGGAGAAGGCACGCUGAUAUGUAGGUGAAGUCCCUCGCGGAUGGAGCUGAAAUCAGUCGAAGAUACCAGCUGGCUGCAACUGUUUAUUAAAAACACAGCACUGUGCAAACACGAAAGUGGACGUAUACGGUGUGACGCCUGCCCGGUGCCGGAAGGUUAAUUGAUGGGGUUAGCGGUAACGCGAAGCUCUUGAUCGAAGCCCCGGUAAACGGCGGCCGUAACUAUAACGGUCCUAAGGUAGCGAAAUUCCUUGUCGGGUAAGUUCCGACCUGCACGAAUGGCGUAAUGAUGGCCAGGCUGUCUCCACCCGAGACUCAGUGAAAUUGAACUCGCUGUGAAGAUGCAGUGUACCCGCGGCAAGACGGAAAGACCCCGUGAACCUUUACUAUAGCUUGACACUGAACAUUGAGCCUUGAUGUGUAGGAUAGGUGGGAGGCUUUGAAGUGUGGACGCCAGUCUGCAUGGAGCCGGCCUUGAAAUACCACCCUUUAAUGUUUGAUGUUCUAACGUUGGCCCCUGAUCGGGGUUGCGGACAGUGUCUGGUGGGUAGUUUGACUGGGGCGGUCUCCUCCUAAAGAGUAACGGAGGAGCACGAAGGUUGGCUAAUCCUGGUCGGACAUCAGGAGGUUAGUGCAAUGGCAUAAGCCAGCUUGACUGCGAGCGUGACGGCGCGAGCAGGUGCGAAAGCAGGUCAUAGUGAUCCGGUGGUUCUGAAUGGAAGGGCCAUCGCUCAACGGAUAAAAGGUACUCCGGGGAUAACAGGCUGAUACCGCCCAAGAGUUCAUAUCGACGGCGGUGUUUGGCACCUCGAUGUCGGCUCAUCACAUCCUGGGGCUGAAGUAGGUCCCAAGGGUAUGGCUGUUCGCCAUUUAAAGUGGUACGCGAGCUGGGUUUAGAACGUCGUGAGACAGUUCGGUCCCUAUCUGCCGUGGGCGCUGGAGAACUGAGGGGGGCUGCUCCUAGUACGAGAGGACCGGAGUGGACGCAUCACUGGUGUUCGGGUUGUCAUGCCAAUGGCACUGCCCGGUAGCUAAAUGCGGAAGAGAUAAGUGCUGAAAGCAUCUAAGCACGAAACUUGCCCCGAGAUGAGUUCUCCCUGACUCCUUGA
rnacentral:rRNA from 1 species